rnacentral:rRNA from 1 species
AACGAACGCUGGCGGCAUGCCUAACACAUGCAAGUCGAACGAGAGCUUCGGGUCUACUUGCGCACGCGUGCGUCACGCGUGGGAAUCUGGCCUUGGGUUCGGGAUUACAGUUGGAAACGGCUGCUAAUACCGGAUGAUGUAGUAAAUCAACAGAUUGAUCGACCAGGUUUGAGCCCGGGUAGUUUUAGCUUGUGGGGGGCGUAAAGGCCUACCAAGGCGACGAUCCUUAGCUGGUCAGAGAGGAUGAUACGCCACACUUGGACGGAGACACGGGCCGGAGUAUUGCGCGAGGCGGGAGAGCGGAAUACUGGACUACGGGCUGAAGCAUGAUCCAGCAAUGCCGCGUGAGUGAUUAUGGUCGUAGGGUAGUACAGCUCGUUUAUCCGCGACGAUAAUGACGGUACCGGGAGAAUAAGCACCGGCUAACUCCGUG